rnacentral:lncRNA from 1 species
GGAGGAUCUAUUCCAUGUCUCUGUCAUGAUCUUUGGCAUUCUCUGGCUAAUACCUGCAUUGCUUCAACUGUACCUAAACUGUUGUAUUCCCUUCUCACUGUGCCUGUGUCCAAAUUUCCCUCAUCUUCCAAGGACACUACCCAGGAUUUAUGGCCUACCUUAACCCACUAUGACCUCUUCUGGACUUGAUUACAUCUGCCAAGACACUGUUUCCAAAUCAGUAUGGUCACACUCAACAGGCACCAGGGUUAGGACUUGAGAUGCAGAAGAGACACACAACCACAUACAAGUCUCGGUGGGAAGAGCACAGGCUUUGGAGUGGUGCCAUCUUGGGCUCAGAGCCUGGUGCUGCCAUUCAGCCCACCCUCUGCUUCCUCUGCCCAGCAAAGUUGGAAGGACAGUUGGUCCAUCCGCCCAAGGGACUCCUAAAGAUCGCCUUACAGAGGAAGGACUGCAGAGCUCCAGGGAGCAUCUGAGAUGGAAGAAAUUUAGCAAAGAUGGCCUUGAACUGGUCCUUAGAGCUCAGAUGUCCCUGGAGAACUGUGCAGGGGAGUCCAGCUCCUCAUCCUCUCCCAGCCUGCUGGAGGAGGAGGAUCCAGGGCCGUUGGCCCCGAAACCACAAAACACUGGAUCGACUGGCAAGGAGCCCUUCAGCUUCCUGGGCCUCUCCCACAAGGUCCUGGCAGCCUUGGAGUGCCUGCCUUUCUUCCGCACCUGUGAGUGGUUCCUGGCUGAAGAGAAAGCAGCCCUGCAGCCUGAGGCUUCCACUGCAGGCUCAGACGUCACCUCUGGGUCCUCACACUCACCGGUCUCAGCAGGGUGCUCCUGUGAUGGUGGUCUGGAUGCCCCUCCCUCCAGAGCCAAAGCCCUUCAUGCCCCAGAAUUCGUGCCUUACUACAGGAGCCCUGAGGAGGAGCUGCAUACCAGCCUGGGGCCUUCUGCCUUGCUGUCUGGAAGAGACCAGGACCUGGUCGAGAAUGAGUCCUGGCACCCAGUUCUCAGCGAGGGUGGAAGCUGUCUGGAGCUUGAAAAACUGCCCCACAAGGAGUGAGCAGCCACACCUGAAGUGGUUCCACUGAGGAAUGCCUUGUCUGGGCCAGCACUCCAGCCUAGACUGCCUCUUCUGUAGCCUGCCCUAAGCUGGG